rnacentral:tRNA from 1 species
CUUGACGAUGGACAGGCCCAGUCCCGCGCCUGGGGUGCGUGGGUUGGGGCCGCGCGUGAAGCGUUCGAACGCCGCGUUGGCCAAGGC